GAACUUCUGGGGUGUUCGGCAACUCUUGUAAUUUUGAACCUACAUUUAUUUUUAUGGGAUACCGAUAUUUACUUGAAGAUGUCAGGCCGGCAUGAAUCGGAAGACAGAGGCAUGUGUGAGGUUGCCCACCUAGCUUGGCUAGGAGUCAAAAUACAGGAAUCGGCAUCGCCGGUUGUUCU
rnacentral:other from 1 species